rnacentral:rRNA from 1 species
CCAGACUCCUACGGGAGGCAGCAGUGGGGGAUAUUGCACAAUGGGGGGAACCCUGAUGCAGCGACGCCGCGUGGGUGAAGAAGCGCCUCGGCGCGUAAAGCCCUGUCAGCAGGGAAGAAAAUGACGGUACCUGAAGAAGAAGCCCCGGCUAACUACGUGCCAGCAGCCGCGGUAAUACGUAGGGGGCAAGCGUUAUCCGGAUUUACUGGGUGUAAAGGGGGCGCAGACGGCGAUGCAAGCCAGGAGUGAAAGCCCGGGGCCCAACCCCGGGACUGCUCUUGGAACUGCGUGGCUGGAGCGCAGGAGGGGCAGGCGGAAUUCCUAGUGUAGCGGUGAAAUGCGUAGAUAUUAGGAGGAACACCAGUGGCGAAGGCGGCCUGCUGGACGAUGACUGACGCUGAGGCUCGAAAGCGUGGGGAGCAAACAGGAUUAGAUACCCUAGUAC